rnacentral:misc_RNA from 1 species
GAAAUGCGAUAAGUAAUGUGAAUUGCAGAAUUCCGUGAAUCAUCGAAUCUUUGAACGCACAUUGCGCCCUCUGGUAUUCCGGGGGGCAUGCCUGUCCGAGCGUCAUUGCGAACCCCUCAAGCACGGCUUGUGUGAUGGGCCCUCCCGCGUCUUGGUCGUCAAGACGGGCCCGAAAAGCAGUGGCGGCUUCGCGGUUAUCCGAUCAGCCAGAGCGUAUGGGGACUUUCUCUCUGUCACACGCCCGCGGCGCGGACCGACGCCUGUCGACCUUUAUUCAUCUUUUUCCCGGUUGACCUCGGAUCAGGUAGGGGUACCCGCUGAACUUAAGC